UGCUUUCCAAGAAGCUAUACUCUUAGGAUCGAAAUAUAAUUUUCAAAAAAGUUUAAAAACAUGACUCUUUCCCAAACUAAAAUGAAAAUGUGUCAAAAUUUAAUUAAUUCAUUAAUUAAUGAGGAAACCAGUAAGAUGGUAAUGCUGGCUCAAAGACUAUUUUGAGAAACCAGAGUUUAUGUAAUCCUUAAAAAAAGAAGAAUCUUAGAAUAAGAUUGCUGGGUUGGAGACAAAAUUGGUUAAUGUCCUAACAAACCAUAACCUUUGAGGUUACCAGGUGGUGUGCUAGAGCCAGCUCAUACCAGCUGAUUAUUAAAUAUUCAGGAAGUUUGUAAGCUAGCCCCUCUGCCUUCAGCCAGUUUACCAGCACACCACUGAUAUUAACAUGUUAUUAAGUAGUUUUACAGAGUCUCAAUUCUUAAUUAAUAAUAAAAGACAAAGCCAAACAAUGGUACAUUCUCCUUGAAAAUGAAAUCAUCCUUGAGUGGGCCUGUUAAACAUGGGCUUCACCAUGACAUUGAAAGGACGUAGUCACCCUCUUCACCUCAUUUCCAAGUUUUGGAUAAUUUUUCUUAAUUUUCCUUCAACCUCUCUAGCUCUUCCUUUUCAGUCUUCUUUGUGGGCUUCUUUUCCUCUCCCCUCCCUUAAAUACUGGUGAUCUUCAAGGUUUUAUCUUCAGGGUCUGUCUUAUGCUCGCUCUCUUCACUCCUCUCAGUCUUGCCCCUUCACUGCCUAGUUAACUAGUACUUGUCCUUUAACCUGCCUCGUUCAGAUAAGCCCUCCCUGACUCCCCGGGCAAGAUCAGCUUCCCCUCUUUCAGAGGACUUAUCCCAAUUCUAAUAAACAAUUCAUUGUGUAGUUAGUUGUUUAAUGUCUGUCUCUUCCACUAGACCAUAAACUCCAUGACAGCAGGGAACAUAGCUGUCUUUUUCACUUCCAUAAUCCUAAGAGCCUAAAUAAUUAUUUGUUGAAUAAAUGAAUGAGUGAGUGCACGAAUGGAGAAAUAACAGAUGGUUAGAUGGUGACCUCAUCAUUUCCUUCCAUGGCCUCAAUUUUCAUCAAUGUAUUGGUGACUGGAAAAAUGUAUAUUGCCAGUUCUCUUUCUCUUUUGAAACUGAAUAAUAAAAUGAUAGUCAGGGAAAUUCUUUUGCUAUUUUACAAACACAAGUACUAAAACAUCAAAAUUCGGUGUAAAUAUUUUGAAAAUGCCAAAUGUCAAGAAAAGGGGCACACAAUUCAGCUAUUGCUUGAUCUAGGAAAUAGCAUUUCACUGCCCAAAAAGUGUUGAGAGACAGUUCUCCAUGGCGCUCUCAUGUUUUUCAUGUCUUGUGAGCAGAGGCACCAACAAGAAAGUUUUGUGCUUUUUUUUCAAGGAGAGUACAGCCUGGGAAGAUGGAGAUAGUGUCUCCCUCCAGAGCAGAAGAUCUUUUCUGACACUGAGCGGAAGAGGCCUGUGCAUUUGUCCGUACUUACUGAUGCAUGUUUUCACAUGUUUAUGAGACCAUCUCCAUAGCUUACUCUACACAUGAGCAUGACUACUGUUCUACAGCUGUCAUCAGCAUAACUUUACUGUUCCAGCAAGCUCUUGACAAGGAAGAUAAAAGUUGCAAACAAAUGACUUUAUUGCUGAUUCCAGGACCUUCUUGAAAGACCUACCAACUCUUCAAAAUAAAGCACCAAAUCACAAUUUAUACCCCAAGACUCUCUGAGCCCCUCGUCUCAAUUGCUGUGCUACUGGUUCUAAACUAUCAUGAUCAUUAUCUGAUGCUAAGACUUCCCUCUCCCCCUAUUGAAAGACCCACCUUCAACCAGACUUUCAAAGUUUAAUAAAUAGCCCAGUUUUGCUCUUACCCUCCUUUGAGAUGCUACAAAGAUUUGCAAGAUAACUUGUAAGUAAUAAACUGAGUUUUGUCAUAUCCACA